rnacentral:rRNA from 1 species
GCGACCCCAGGUCGGGCGAGGCCACCCGCCGAGUUUAAGCAUAUCAAUAAGCGGAGGAGAAG